CUGCGUUAGACCAAGGAGGGUUGGUGGUCUUUACGGGGGACCGUUACCUGCCAGGGUCCAAAACCCUAAAACAGG
rnacentral:tRNA from 1 species